AAAAAUAGUUUAGAAAUCUUUUCUUUUACUUUCAGUAUCCUCUCUGUAAACAACCUUUCCUUGUAAAAAUCUUUCCUUUAAUAAAAAAUAGAUCUUCCGCACUUUAAAUAGUCUGUAAUUGGUAUCAGAGGCCCCCGGAGUUACGGUUCUUGGAGGAAUUCAUAUCAUAAUACUCAUUUGUAAGUUCUUAUCUUUAAUUUACAAUCCAGUUAAUUUCGUGGUUGUUUAUCUUGAAACCCAUAUAUCUGUUAUUUUGUCUAACUUUUCCCUUUUUCAGUCUAGGUGAGAGACAAUAGGCCUUUGUGUGUUAAGACAAAAUAAUAUAACAGACGGUUUUAGGUACCAAAGAUAAGUAACAUGGAAGAGACAGAUUGUUUAUAUAAAGAUAAAACCUGCAAUCAUAUUAUGCAUAUAGAUUCUAAACAAGAAAAUAAUAUUUCGGCCCUUAGUAAAGGAUUUAAUAGUUUAAUAGAUAUAACAUCUAUAUAUUAUAAUAAAAUAUAUAAUAAAGUCAAUAAUAUAGAAGAAAAAGUAAAUUACAUGGGAAAUAUUAAAGAAUUAGAUUUGAACAACAAAUCUAAAGAAAUUUUAUCAGAAGUUAAUAAUAAAUUAGAUCAGGUUAUUAAUAAUAAUAAUACGGAAUCAGAUAUAGAUUUAGGUCCCCUAUAUUAUGGUAAUAGUAAUAUAAUUUUAACUUUAUCAGAUGAAGAAGAAGAAACUUCUUCAGAAGAGUCAUAUUCUACUAUUAAUAGAAAUAAAAAAUCUGAAAAACAGAGAAGAAAAAAUAUUACUCAACAAAAAUAUGAUUUCCAAUCUUAUAAAGAAUUAAUAGAACAUUGGAAAGUCAAAUUUACUAAAAGUACUGAUAAAAACGAAAGAAUAGAAUACUUAAAAUUAAUAGAAGAACUUUAUGAAAAACAUAAAGAUCUAUUUACUCAGUUUAAUUAUCACUAUAUGUUAAGUUAUGAUACUACAGAAAGUAGUAGUUCUAGUAAUUCUGAUAAUCAAGAAGAUUUAAAUGUAACUAGUUAUAAAUCUGAUGAAGAAAACACUUCAACAGAUGAGGAUGAAAAUAUAGAAGUCCCCGAACCUAUGGAUACUGAUCAAACAGAUCCUUAUGGUAAAAGAAAAUUAGAAUCAGAUAUUCAAAAAGAUGAUUAUCUGAGAGCUUUAAAUAAAGACUUUGAAACAGUUGAAAAUACAACAAGAAUUUUUGGUAAUCAAACUGAAAAUAUAGCUACUAAUGAAGUUAAAACUGAAUAUACAGGCGAAUCUUCUAAUCAACAACCAAGUCAAACUAUACCUAUACCACAUAGGAUAGAUGAUUUAAAUAAAAGAAAUGUGGCUCAAGGUGGAAUAUAUUUAGAUUUGACUAAUAUUUCAAUAUCAGACUAUGAAAAAACCAUUGAUGAUUGGGCACAGUCAAUGACAAUAGUUGUAAAUAACAACGGUUCUUGGUCAAAAGAAAAAUUUUUAAAUUAUUUUGUAGGAACUUUUCAAGGAGACGUUUUACAAUUUUUAAGACGUUGGGAAGAAUCAGAAGUAGGAAAAGUCCAAAAAGGACAACUAAUUAAUCAAAUAGGUACUCCUAAAGAUCUUUUAAAAGGAUUAACAAAUAUUCUAAAAACAGAAUUUUGUGGUUAUUUUGAUAAAAAAGAUCAAUAUAGUAUAGCUAGUUAUACCUUAUCAAAAAUUAAAUUAUGUGAUAUUAGAUAUCUAGAAGAAUUUUCUAAAAAAUUUCUUCAUGAAUAUCAAAAAUUAAAAAAUGAAAAUAUAGAAUUUUGGAAAAACCAAUAUUUUCAUAAACUACCCCCACCAUGGGAUGAGAUAUGUAUAAAAAAAUAUGUGUCUUAUUUAGAUAAACAUAGUAAAGAAUCAGGGAUAGCAAAAGAAAAUAUAGAUUCUAUAGGAAAUAGAAUUAAUUUUGCAAGAGAAAGAAUAACUCUACAUUGUCUACAAACUAAAGCGGCUAAACAAGUAAAAAAUAAAUUAACUUAUAGUCAUUGUACAAAAAUUCUAGAAAAUGAAUGGGAAUUUAGAUGUAAAACAACACGUCCUAAUACAUAUAAAAAACAUAGAAAGAAAAAUAGAAAAUAUAAAUUUAUUAGAUGGAAACCAGGAAAUAAAAAAUAUACUGGUAAUAAUAAGAAAAAGAAAAAAUUUGUUAGAAGAAAAACUUCUAAAAAAUCUAAAAAACAGAUAUGUAAAUGUUUUAUUUGUGAUGAAGAAGGCCAUAUAGCACCAAACUGUCCUAAUAAAGGAAAAAGUGCUAAAAAGAUGAUUAAAAGUCUUGAAGAACAAGAUUUAGAAAUUUGUUAUGAAGAGGAAAUAAAUCCUGAAGAAAUAUUAUAUGAGUUAAUAUCAGAAACGGAUUCUGAUUUAGAUGAAGAAGAAUAUAUAUUUAUGUUUAAUAUAGGAAGUAGUUCUAAAAAUCAAUUAGAAGAAAUUCCUAAGUCUGAACAACAAGACAUAAAAUUAGGAUAUUUGAUUGGAGAAGAAAAAGACUUUUCUGAUGAAAUGAUAGAAAAAAUAAAUAAAAAUCACAUUUCUAAAGAAGAAAUAUAUAAAAUAUCUAAGUUUAAAAUAUGGAGUCAAAGACAUAUAGAAAAAAUUAGUGGCAACACUGUCGUUAAGGAUACUAGAGGAGGAUUAACAGAAAUUCCAUUAUUUACUAAAGAAAAAAUUAAGAGGAUUAAAAAGAAAUACCCUCAAGUUAGAUAUAUACAUUUAGGUAUAAUUAUGAUAACAAUUAGAGCUUUAUUUAGAAAAGGACAUGAUAUACCCAUAAUAGCGGUUUUAUUAGAUAAAAGAUUUGAAAACCCGAUAAAAGCACUUAUUGGUGGUAUUCAGUCUAAUUUACACACUAGAGUAAUAGGAUUUAAAGUUAAACCAAACUAUUUUAUAUCUAUUACAGAUCCCCUAAUAGAAGAAUGCUUAUGUUUAAGAAUUCAGACAAAAAAUUCUGAAAUUAGCGAUUUAGCAGAAGAUUUAGCAAUAAGUUGGACUUCUAUUAAUAAAUAUACCAACACGGCAGAAGUAGAAAUUAAAGAAAUCAAUAAUAAAAUAAUUGAGUUAUUUGAACCCAAUAAAUUUACUACAGAAAUACAACCAAAAUUAUUACAUUUAAAAGAUCUGUCAAUUCCAAAAGAUUGGAUGAUUGAUAGAAUAAGUGGUGCUAGUACUUCAAAACCCGUAAGUACUAUAGAAUAUAUGUCAUCAGGAGAUAGACUAUAUUUUAAAAAUAAUGCUAUAACAAAUACAAAUGAUAAUUUAGUUUUACCUUCUAAUUCUCAAAUAGAAGAAGAAUAUAAUAUUAGUACAAAUUCAACAACACCGAUAGGUAUGAAAACAGUUCAAAUACCUAUUUUCCCUACUGAACCUAGCAGAAAUUCUAGAAAUACUAGAAUGGAAGAAAUACAAUCUACUACUAUUAUUCAACAAAUGAAAAUAGGAAAAAAUGAUAUUAUUACAUUUUCAAAUUUCCAACCUAGGAAAUAUUAUACAUAUAUAGAAAUUACACUUCAAUUUAGAGACUAUAAAACAUAUUCUUUGCAUGCUUUAUUAGAUACUGGAGCUACCACAAGUAAUUCUAGAGAAAAUGCCAUUCUUGUAGAAAAAUGGGAAUUAAUGAAAAAUCCAAUUAGAGAUAUAGGAAUUGAUGGUAAAGAAACCAUAAUUCAAUUUAAGGCUAGAAAUAUACCAAUUUACAUAAAUAAUGUAAGAUUUGUAAUUCCUAAAAUAUUGUGUUUUCCUGAAAUGCAUGGAGACAUAUUAUUAGGAAAUAAUUUUAUAUAUCAUCAUCUACCGUUUUCUAUAGAUAGAAAUUUAGUAAUAUUAUCAACAGAAAAAACUUCUGUAGAAAUACCUUUAAUAGAAAACCAUAAAUUUGUUUGUGAUAAAGGAUUUAGACCAAUAAGAAAAGAACAAAUUAAACAACUAGAAACAAAUCAUUGGUUGUUUAAAAUUCUAGAAAAUAAUUUUAGUGAAGAACCAUUAAAAUUAUGGGAAAAUAGUCCAAGAUAUUGUGAAAUAAAAUUAAAGAAUCCUAAUAAAAUAAUUAGAAUCAAACCUAUGAUCUAUACUAAACAAGAUAUAGAUGAAUUUGAUAUACAAAUCAAAGAAUUAUUGGAAAAAGGAUUAAUAGAAAAAACUAAUAGUCCACACUCAAGUCCAGCUUUUAUGGUAAGAAACCAUGCUGAAAUAAAAAGAGGAAAAGCUAGAAUGGUUAUUAAUUAUAAAAGACUAAACCAAAAUACUAUUUUUGAUGGAUACUUUAUUCCACGGAAAGAUGUUUUAAUAAAUCAAGCUAAACAAGCAAAAUAUUUCAGUAAAUUUGAUUGUAAAUCAGGAUUUUGGCAAAUAAUGCUAACUGAUGAAUCUAAACUAUUAACAAUGAAAAACCAAAUACUUGUUUAAAAAUAAUAUCUUGACAUAUAAAAUUGCAGAUAAUUUUAUUGAUUUUUUCAAAAAUUUCUGCUGGUAGUAUUUUCCUAGCUUUAUUAUAUAAACAUAUUCUAAACAUUUUAUUCAUAAUGGGACUAUUUGUUCCUUUAUGAAUAAAGUAUUGAAAUAUAUCAAUAAGAUUAUUUAUCUCAUUGAUAUUUGUAUACUCUAUUUCGAGUUCUUGCCAAUCUCUGUAUAAAACAGCUUUUAAUAAUAAUUCAUGUGCUUCAUUUUCUUUAGUUGUUUUUUCAACUAGAAAUUGUGAAAACUUUGUAAGAGCUCGUCUAAAAUUUGCUCUUUGUUCUAAAAUAUGGGUUUUCCAUAUUUCAUUAAUAUAUUUAUAAAUUUCAUUUGGUAAUCCUGGAUUAUAAAAAUAUUUUAUUUCUGGAAUUUGUUGUUGUUUCAACAAAUUUUCUGCUCCUUUUAUAACUUCAGAAUAACUGGCUUGAUAUGCUGAAUUCGGAUCUUGAGACCAAGGAGAUUGAAUUAUUCUUUUUGAAGGGUAUUCGUUUACCAUUCUUUAUGCAUAUGAUGAAGGAGAUCUAGUUGGUUGUCUUACCAUUGGAUAAGGAACAUAAUAUCCUUGAUCAGGAUAGAAUCCUGUUAAUAUAGGAGUAAAUCCCUGAUUGGGAGUAAAUCCUUGAUUAGGAUUUAUCUGCUUUCCUUUGUUGGGUUUUUUAUGGACAGUAGCCCAUUCCCCGACUUGUUCUAGAGGUUUUUUACCUCUAUCCAUAAGGCCUGCUAAGAUAAUCAGCAAUAAUAUUAUUAGUACCUUUGACAUAUAAAACUUCAAAAUUGAAACUACAUAAAUCAUUAUACCAUCUAAUUCUUCUUGGUACACUUUCUAGACUAUUAUUAGUCAGAAAUUGUUUGAUUGCCUGGUUGUCAGUUUUUAUAAUAAAAUUUUCAGAUGCUAAAUAUAUGAGAAAGGUUUUUAUUGCCUUUUUAGUAGCUAAUAAUUCUUUUUCAUAUAUAGCAUAAUUAACUUCAUUUGAUUUAAAUUUUCCAGAACUAUAUCCACAUAUUAGUUCUUCGUUUUUUGCUGUUUUAGCUUUUAAAAUACAUCCCCAAUAUUUUUCUGAUGCAUCGGUUUCUAAAAUUAAUCUAUCACCUUGUUUUGGUAAAUAGACUUUUGGGGUAUAAUUUAUUUCUGAUUUUAUAUUUUUAAUAAUUUCUGAGUCUUCUUUAGACCAGCUAAAAGUUUUAUCCUUUUUUAAUUUUUCAUAUAAGUCUCCUAUUUUUUCAGAUAAGUUAGGAAAGAAGUUUCUUCCAUAAUUAAUUAUACCUAAAAAUUGUUGAAGUUGUUUUUGGUUUUUAAUUUCUUCUGAAAAUUCUUUUAUUUUUACUAUAAUAUGAUCUUGUAGUUUAAGACCAUCAGCUGAUAAAUUUAAACCUAAAAAUUCUAUUUCUGUUUUUUCUAAUUUUAUUUUCUUAGGGCUCAAAAUAAUUCCAUGUUUUAUGAAUUCUUGGGAGAUAAUAUUUAAAUGUUUUCUAUGCUUUUCCAGUGUUUCUGAAAAUAUUAAUAUAUCGUCUAUAUAAACUACACAAAAUUUUUUAUAUUUAUUAAAUAUAGAAUCCAUCCAUCUUUGGAAGAUUUGAGGUGCAUUACAUAAUCCAAAUGGCAUUACUCUCCAUUGAUAAUGACCAUUAGGUGCACUAAAGGCUGUUAAUGGUUUAGAUUCAUCAGUUAGCAUUAUUUGCCAAAAUCCUAAUUUACAAUCAAAUUUACUGAAAUAUUUUGCUUGUUUAGCUUGAUUUAUUAAAACAUCUUUCCGUGGAAUAAAGUAUCCAUCAAAAAUAGUAUUUUGGUUUAGUCUUUUAUAAUUAUAUUUAGCAUCUGAAAAUUUUAUUAUAAAAACUGACAACCAGGCAGUCAAACAAUUUCUGACUAAUAAUAGUCUAGAAAGUGUACCAAGAAGAAUUAGAUGGUAUAAUGAUUUAUAUAGUUUCAAUUUUGAAGUUUUAUAUGUCAAAGGUACUAAUAAUAUUAUUGCUGAUUAUCUUAGCAGGCCUUAUGGAUAGAGGUAAAAAACCUCUAGAACAAGUUGGGGAAUGGACUACUGUCCAUA
rnacentral:lncRNA from 1 species